rnacentral:snoRNA from 14 species
CUGGAGAAAUGAUGAGAAAUCAGAUAAAUCUUAGGACACCUUCUGACACAGAUUCUGUGUAUGAGAAUGACAUCAUAUUCUGAUCUUCAG